rnacentral:rRNA from 1 species
GUGUCAGCAGCCGCGGUAGGACAGAGGGUGCAAACGUUGUUCGGAAUUACUGGGCGUAAAGCGCGUGUAGGUGGCAAGGCAAGUCGGGUGUGAAAGCCCUGGGCUCAACCCAGGAAGUGCACUCGAUACUGCCUCGCUAGAGUCCCGAAGAGGUUGGUGGAACUCUCGGUGUAGAGGUGAAAUUCGUAGAUAUCGAGAAGAACACCGGUGGCGAAGGCGGCCAACUGGACGGUGACUGACACUGAGACGCGAAAGCGUGGGGAGCAAACAGGAUUAGAAACCCUAGUAGUCC